rnacentral:tRNA from 1 species
GGAGGGGUGCCCGAGUGGUUAAAGGGGGCAGACUGUAAAUCUGUUAGCUUCGCUUACGUAGGUUCGAAUCCUACUCCCUCCA